rnacentral:rRNA from 1 species
AUACGUAGGGGGCGAGCGUUAUUCGGAAUUACUGGGUGUAAAGGGUAUGUAGGCGGCCCUUCAAGUCGCGUGUCAAAGUCCAGUGCUCAACGCUGGGUGUGCGCGCGAUACUGACGGGCUUGAGGGCUGGAGAGGUGAGCGGAAUUCCCGGUGUAGUGGUAAAAUACGUAGAGAUCGGGAGGAACACCAGCGGCGCAGGCGGCUCACUAGACAGUUUCUGACGCUAAGAUACGAAAGCGUGGGGAGCAAACAGGAUUAGAUACCCUGGUAGUCCACGCCCUAAACGAUGGAUACUUGGUGUCGGGGGGUUGCCCUCGGUGCCGGAGCUAACGCGUUAAGUAUCCCACCUGGGGACUACGGCCGCAAGGCUAAA